UUUUAUUUUCAGAUUUGUUGAUUUUGUUUUUUCCCUUUUUAGGUUUAAAGAAAACCGUAAAGAUGAUAUUUGGCUCGUAGAUUUUUAUGCACCUUGGUGUGGCCACUGCAAGAAACUAGAGCCUGUGUGGAAUGAAGUGGGCAUAGAAAUGAGAAACAUGGGCUCUCCAGUAAAAGUUGGGAAGAUGGAUGCAACUUCCUUUUCUAGUAUUGCAUCUGAAUUUGGUGUACGAGGCUAUCCAACAAUUAAGCUCUUAAAAGGUGACUUGGCAUACAACUAUAGAGGACCUAGAACCAAAGAUGAUAUAGUUGAAUUUGCUAAUAGAGUGGCAGGACCUCUUAUCAGGCCACUUCCUAGCCAGCAUAUGUUUGAGCAUGUGCAAAAGAGACAUCGUGUACUUUUUGUGUAUGUUGGUGGUGAAUCUCCUUUAAAGGAAAAAUACAUUGAAGUUGCUUCAGAACUAAUAGUUUAUACGUACUUUUUUUCUGCCUCAGAAGAUGUAGUGCCUGAGUAUGUGACAUUGCCUGAAUUACCUGCUGUUAUGGUCUUCAAAGAUGGAACUUACUUUGUUUAUGAUGAGUAUGAAGAUGGUGAUUUGUCAUCUUGGAUAAACAGAGAAAGGUUUCAGGGCUACCUUAACGUUGAUGGCUUUACGCUGUAUGAACUUGGAGAUACAGGAAAACUUGUGGCUAUUGCAGUCAUUGAUGAUAAAAACUCUUCAGUGGAACAUACCAGACUAAAGUCCAUUAUUCAGGAAGUCGCUAGAGAUUACCGGGAUCACUUUCACAGGGAUUUCCAGUUUGGCCAUAUGGAUGGAAAUGAUUACAUUAAUAGUUUACUAAUGGAUGACUUGACAAUCCCUACUAUUGUUGUGUUGAAUACCUCCAAUCAGCAGUAUUUUCUACCAGAUAGGCAUAUUGAGAGCACAGAAGACAUGGUUCAGUUUAUUAACAAUAUCUUGGAUGGUACAGCUGAAGGACUUAAGAUUGCAAGGUCUGAAGAAUGAACUUUUGGAAUCAUAACUGAAAAGUGUCAGCAGUUUUGACUUGGUUGCAUUUGAAAUUUCAGGCACAGGGUGGUGAUGGACUUCUGCAACGAAUCAAGAGAAUAAUCUAUGAUGCCAAGUCUACUAUAAUGUCUGUGUUCAAGAGUUCACCACUGCUGGGAUGCUUUCUCUUUGGGCUGCCCCUGGGGGUCAUCAGCAUUAUGUGUUAUGGAAUCUGCACAGCUGAUACAGAUGGAGAGGUAUUUGAGCAUGAGGGAGCUAAAAAGGAAAGUGGCGAUCGGGAGCUCACAGAUGAAGGCAGUGAGGAAGAACAAGAGGAGGAAAAGAAUGGAAAAUACACAGAACUUUCAGAUGGAGAGCUUAAACAGAAAGACAUAAUGGAAAAGAAAAAAGACUAACUUGUUUAGCAGAAGAAUUCUCUAGAAUUUCCAAAUAGAUUUAUUUAUUGAAGGUUUUCAUUUAUUGAUGAUCUUCAUGAAAGAGGACCGUUUUGUCUGCAUUAUGGUAGUUUUGACUUGCAUGUAUUCAAAUUUUCUCAGAAAUUGACAGAAAAAAAAUGGAUGUUCUCUUAAUUGUCCUUAUUAGAUCAACAAAGAGGAACUUAAACUGAAGAAAUCUGCAGGUACAAUUCUAUACCAUUUUUGGAAGAGUUUUGAAUUGUUCAUUUCCAGAACAGUGAGAUCAUGUUACUGGACCUUACUGUAUGUGGUGAACUGCUACUAGUAUAGCCCAGCUAAGCACUCAUUCACAUAAAAUUAGGGCUGAAAACUAAGAAAAAUGAAGAGAGCUGUGAAGUCUUUCAGAGCCUGAUAGCUAAAGACAAGUUGUGAUUUUUCUAAGAAGUCACAUCUUCUACCUGUUGCACGUUAUUAUGAAAAAAAAAACCCAAGAAGAUUUUCUGUUUUCUCCAAUUAAAUGUAAAUUGUUAUGAAUUGGAGACUGUUCUACCAUGUAAUAAUAUAAUUAUUGGCAGUCAAGAAUGUUUACUUGAUAUAGGAUAUGGGAGUUAUAUUCUAAGUGAAGUGUUUACUAGUGCUCUAGCAGUUAAAAAUAUUGGAAAACUGUUACAAACUUUCUAGAACAUGAUUGCCUGUUGUUUUCUAUGAGUGCUUGCACAGACUUAUAGUGCAACAGGUCUUUAAGUUUCCUAAAUCUGCAGCAUAACUUUAUAAAGGAAGAUGUAAAUAUAAAGACCCUCUGAUGAUUUUGUAUAGCUCUCCAAUGGCAACGUUUUUGAAUGAUGUAAAUUUGUUUCACAGUGUUUAAUUGAGAUUGUUAUAUAUCUUUUGAGGUAGUUGGUUUUGUUUGAGACUGUUACUUACUCUGAAGGAGGGAGUUGUUAGAGCAUAAUAUUAACAUUCAAAUAGAUUGAUCAGUAUAAUGCAUUUUUCUUACCUUUUUCAUCAUAAAAUUCAGUUUUAAUACAACGCUGUGACUGUGAAAAGGACUAAUUUGUGUCCAGGAUUAAAAUCUCCAAGGGGAAGCUAUAAAGUAGCCUUUGGCAUCAGUAUCAUAGAGAAUCACAGAACUUAUUGAACUAUUCCUUGCUGGGUUUUUUUCUUUUUGUUCCUGUUUUGUUUAAGGCUAUAUUACUGUAUAAUACAAAUUAUAAUGUCUUUCUCAUAAGGCAGCUUGAUCACAUAAGAAAUUACUAUGCUCUAGCACUAAAUUAAGGAAUUUCAAAUAAAAAACAUGAGUAAGCUUAAAUAGACAGGUUCUGUGUUUGAGUAAAUUUGGUGAUGCUAUACAAUGGUAACCAGGGAAAACAUUGUAUUCUUUUUCUUUGUAGGAAAGAAACUUGUUUCUUCUCUUUAAGUAGCUUGGUAACAGCUGACUUCAUGUUGCAAUACAGAGUAGAUCCCUGACUUGAAAGAUUUUGUUUAUCAAUCAGUAUAAACAACAUGUAAAGAGAUUAGGAACUUUUUCAGAAAACUUCUGUCUGGCUUUGAAUCCAACCUUUUUCCUUUUGGGUGGAGAGAUAAAAAAUGAAUUCAUAGAAUACUGAGUAACGUGUCAGAUACUUUUUUUCCCCAUUUUUUGUUUUCUCCAUUUUCCUUCUAUGAAUUGCCUUUUUUUUUUUUUUCAUUUUUGUCAUUAUAGCUAAUUGUACAUAGUGACUUGAGUUUUCUUGUUUUUUAUUGGUGUUUAAUUUUUUUGACAGAGUCUUUGAGGUGUAGUUUUAGUACAGACGUGAAGAAUGAGAUGCUUAAAAAUGUAUUUAGCAAGUUUUUUUAACAUGGUAUGGAGGUUCUGAGUUGUUUAUUAAAAAAGUCUAAAAAAAAUAAAAAAUCACUUACAGUAAAACCUGUAAUUUCUUCGGACUUCAGCAUAACUCAGUGCUGAUAGUCAAAAUAUAGGACUAUUAAGGCAGUAAUAUGUUUUUUUGUUUUGUCGUCUCUUUAAGAUUUCAGGACAGAUCAAUUACAUAUUUAAUUUUGGCUCAAGCUGGAGACCUGCAGCUUUUGACUUAAAAAAAACCUAAAGUGGUCACUGGAACGCUGCUGUUCCUUCUAUGGAGUGUAAUAAAAAUUAAAAAAUAUUUGAGUUCUGCUGCACUCCUAAGAGCUGUUUCAACUAUGAGCCUUUUUUUUUUUUGGUGGUUAUUUUUUGUUCGUGUUUAUAAUCAGUAGUAGCCAGUUAACUUGCUGAGAAAUCUUGAGAGAUGUGGACCUGAGUAAGGAAAAUACUGUGGAAGAAACAGAUCACACUGGGAUCUGUUAAAACUGUAGCACUUAGUAGUCAGAGUUAGGAGUAAAACCUGUGUCUUGAUUACUUCUGAAGUCUAAUAUCCAUCAGAUGGGUACUGAACUAUUGAAAAUUAAACUUGAAAUGUACUGCUGUUUUCACUGAAUCCGUCUCCCAGCUAUAUUGAGCAAGUCACAGGGAGAAGAAAAGCAUACAAGUCAUAUAGUGGGUGUCAGAAGUAAUGUGAGAUAAGGCAUUUGCUGUGGUCACACAAGUAAUCUAGAGUGCUGUCUGAGGGAGGGCAUUUUAUUUUUCUUCUGCAGUCUCUAAAGGUUUACUAAAGCAACUUCACUGUAAUAACUUGCGAUUCAUGAAGUAAUGCUGCUUUUCUAAGUCAAGUGUAAACCUUUUCUUUUUCUGUAAUAAAAAAACAUUUAAAACA